GACGAACGCUGGCGGCGUGCUUAACACAUGCAAGUCGAACGGAAAGGCCCUGCUUUUGUGGGGUGCUCGAGUGGCGAACGGGUGAGUAACACGUGAGUAACCUGCCCUUGACUUUGGGAUAACUUCAGGAAACUGGGGCUAAUACCGGAUAGGAGCUCCUGUUGCAUGGUGGGGGUUGGAAAUUUUCGGCGGUUGGGGAUGGACUCGCGGCUUAUCAGCUUGUUGGUGGGGUAGUGGCUUACCAAGGCUUUGACGGGUAGCCGGCCUGAGAGGGUGACCGGCCACAUUGGGACUGAGAUACGGCCCAGACUGCUACGGGAGGCAGCAGUGGGGAAUAUUGCACAAUGGGCGGAAGCCUGAUGCAGCAACGCCGCGUGCGGGAUGACGGCCUUCGGGUUGUAAACCGCUUUCGCCUGUGACGAAGCGUGAGUGACGGUAAUGGGUAAAGAAGCACCGGCUAACUACGUG
rnacentral:rRNA from 1 species